UUAAAUAACAUUUUAAUACAUUUUAGAGUAAGGCUGUAACGUAAAAAAAAAAAAAAAAAGUGAAGGUGUCUGAAUUUUUUCCAAAUACACUUUGUAAGUGUUGCCUUACAUUUUUACGAGUGGCUUGGAUGGUUUUCUGUUCCGUUUGUGUUCAUUGUCAUGUUUUGCACUAUAAUCCAUGGAUAGCUAGUUCAGGUCCUAUGCUGAAAGUGAGGCAGGCAGUGUGAAAAGGAUACAGUAUUAAACUAGUUAGCAACACUAAUAUUGCCCAAACCUUCAGUGUUAACCCUUAUUAUCAGUGUCCUGCCACUCCUGGGUCAUAUUCAUUAGUGCACACUGUACCAAAACGUUUUUGCAACAAAAAAAAAAAACGAUGGGAGGUGUCUGCAUACAGUCAGUCACAAGGUUCUCUCUUUGUACAGACGACAAAAACAUGUUGCUUUUGAAGUACACUUUUAUUAUUUAAUUUUUUUGGUACCAAUAUUGUCAUCGUAAUGUUAUUAUCCUCAUGUUUUCACUUCCUCUAAGGUGAAAUACCACUAAAAAGUGAUCAGUGUCCCUCCAUAGAAUAUGUUAUUAUUUCUGUGUUGCAUUUAGACAGACAUGAAAGUGCUGUAAAGUGCUGUAAAGACAAAAUGUUCAUUUGUUAUUGGAAAAGUUUGGUGGUGCAACAUUCAGUAUUGGGAUGAAUUAGGAAUUGAUUUUGAAGGACUUGAUUGGCUCGUGUAGAUCAUUUUAAUGGUGAACUACUUCUCACAUUCAACAUGUAUGUCUACAUAGAUCAAACCCCAACAAGAAACGAUUUGAAAUUGUCAACAAAAAAAUACGAUAAAUCUCUGUGAAGUUAAAGAUAUGUGUUUUGGACCCGUUAAGAGUCAAUCUUCCCCAGAUAGCUGGUUGUCAUUGUGCCUUUAGUAAUAGUUGUCUUUAGUAAUAGUUGUCUUUAGUAAUGUUGUCUUUAGUAAUGGUUGUCUUUAGUAAUAGUUGUCUUUAGUAAUAGUUGUCUUUAGUAAUGGUUGUCCUUUAGUAAUAGUUGUCUUUAGUAAUAGUUGUCUUUAGUAAUGUUGUCUUUAGUAAUGUUGUCUUUAGUAAUAGUUGUCUUUAGUAAUAGUUGUCUUUAGUAAUGUUGUCUUUAGUAAUGGUUGUCUUCAGUAAUGGUUGUCCUUUAGUAAUAGUUGUCUUUAGUAAUAGUUGUCUUUAGUAAUGUUGUCUUUAGUAAUGGUUGUCUUUAGUAAUAGUUGUCUUUAGUAAUGUUGUCUUUAGUAAUGGUUGUCUUUAGUAAUAGUUGUCUUUAGUAAUGUUGUCUUUAGUAAUAGUUGUCUUUAGUAAUGGUUGUCUUUAGUAAUAGUUGUCUUUAGUAAUGUUGUCUUUAGUAAUGGUUGUCUUUAGUAAUAGUUGUCUUUAGUAAUAGUUGUCUUUAGUAAUGGUUGUCUUUAGUAAUAGUUGUCUUUAGUAAUAGUUGUCUUUAGUAAUAGUUGUCUUUAGUAAUAGUUGUCUUUAGUAAUGGUUGUCUUUAGUAAUGGUUGUCUUUAGUAAUAGUUGUCUUUAGUAAUGGUUGUCUUUAGUAAUAGUUGUCUUUAGUAAUGGUUGUCUUUAGUAAUGGUUGUCAUUGUGCCUGUAGUAAUAGUUGUCUUUAGUAAUGUUGUCUUUAGUAAUGGUUGUCUUUAGUAAUGUUGUCUUUAGUAAUAGUUGUCUUUAGUAAUGGUUGUCUUUAGUAAUGGUUGUCCUUUAGUAAUGGUUGUCUUUAGUAAUGUUGUCUUUAGUAAUGUUGUCUUUAGUAAUGUUGUCUUUAGUAAUGGUUGUCUUUAGUAAUGUUGUCUUUAGUAAUAGUUGUCUUUAGUAAUGGUUGUCUUUAGUAAUGGUUGUCCUUUAGUAAUGGUUGUCUUUAGUAAUGUUGUCUUUAGUAAUGGUUGUCUUUAGUAAUAGUUGUCUUUAGUAAUGUUGUCUUUAGUAAUGGUUGUCUUUAGUAAUAGUUGUCUUUAGUAAUGGUUGUCCUUUAGUAAUAGUUGUCUUUAGUAAUGUUGUCUUUAGUAAUGGUUGUCUUUAGUAAUAGUUGUCUUUAGUAAUGUUGUCUUUAGUAAUGGUUGUCUUUAGUAAUAGUUGUCUUUAGUAAUGUUGUCUUUAGUAAUGGUUGUCUUUAGUAAUAGUUGUCUUUAGUAAUAGUUGUCUUUAGUAAUGGUUGUCUUUAGUAAUGUUGUCUUUAGUAAUGGUUGUCUUUAGUAAUGGUUGUCCUUUAGUAAUAGUUGUCUUUAGUAAUGUUGUCUUUAGUAAUGGUUGUCCUUUAGUAAUAGUUGUCUUUAGUAAUGGUUGUCCUUUAGUAAUAGUUGUCUUUAGUAAUAGUUGUCUUUAGUAAUAGUUGUCUUUAGUAAUGUUGUCUUUAGUAAUGGUUGUCCUUUAGUAAUAGUUGUCUUUAGUAAUGGUUGUCCUUUAGUAAUAGUUGUCUUUAGUAAUGGUUGUCUUUAGUAAUAGUUGUCUUUAGUAAUAGUUGUCUUUAGUAAUGGUUGUCUUUAGUAAUAGUUGUCUUUAGUAAUGUUGUCUUUAGUAAUGUUGUCUUUAGUAAUGGUUGUCUUUAGUAAUGGUUGUCUUUAGUAAUGUUGUCUUUAGUAAUGGUUGUCUUUAGUAAUAGUUGUCUUUAGUAAUAGUUGUCUUUAGUAAUGGUUGUCCUUUAGUAAUGGUUGUCCUUUAGUAAUAGUUGUCUUUAGUAAUGUUGUCUUUAGUAAUGGUUGUCUUUAGUAAUGUUGUCUUUAGUAAUGGUUGUCUUUAGUAAUGUUGUCUUUAGUAAUAGUUGUCUUUAGUAAUGUUGUCUUUAGUAAUGGUUGUCUUUAGUAAUGGUUGUCUUUAGUAAUAGUUGUCUUUAGUAAUAGUUGUCUUUAGUAAUGGUUGUCUUUAGUAAUAGUUGUCUUUAGUAAUGUUGUCUUUAGUAAUGUUGUCUUUAGUAAUAGUUGUCUUUAGUAAUGUUGUCUUUAGUAAUGGUUGUCUUUAGUAAUGGUUGUCUUUAGUAAUGGUUGUUUGAAAGGCCUCAGAUGGAAGGUUUAUACCUUUUCAACCGUUAAUGAAAUGUCAGAGAUGGAAAUGUUGAAUUGGUUUUUGAGUCAAGAAAGGCUGCCACUCAAAUGGAUUGGUUUCCAUGGGAUUAUAUCCACAUAUCUGUCGGUAAAACAUGUAGAUGUUGUCCUAUCAAUAUACACAUAAUAGUUUAGGUCAAAAUGCAUAGUUAAGAUACAGGUAACUGCCAAAGAAAGGAAACAUUUGAAAAACAGAUGCUUCCACACAGGUGUGGUUCCUGAGUUAAUUAAGCAAUUCACAUCCCAUCAUGCUUAGGGUCCCAUCUUCAGCUGCUAUAUUGGUCCAACCCCCAAGGCAUUGGUCAUUGCUGAUUGGCUAGUCCAGAACAUCUUUUAGAAUGAAAUUCCCUAAUGCCCGACCUUACCUGCCUGUCACCGGCUGCCUGUCACCGGCUGCCUGUCACCGGCUGCCUGUCACCGGCUGCCUGUCACCGGCUGCCUGUCACCGGCUGCCUGUCACCGGCUGCCUGUUAGGCUAUGAUAUCAUGAACUCUAGUUUAACCCUUUGAGCUGUCCUGCUAUUGUUUAUUGUUUUCUUAGUCGUAUUUAUUUGUGGAAGGGUGUUGUGUUUUUCUUGGAAGCGUUUCUGGUGGUUAUGGGUUACAUACAGGGGUGGAACUGACAUGUACAAAUCUUCACAUUUUUGAGCUGAAUGCCCAGUAAUACAACAGUGGUGACUUGCCUUUUUCCCCUCCUUCAAUUCCACUCCUGGUUACUCCUGGUUACAUGGUUACUCCUGGUUACAUGUUUUAGACUGUUAGAUUGAGAAGGAGUCCCAUCAACUAUCAAUCAAUCAAAAGAUCGAUAGAUUGAUUGAGAUCAAGUAUUAAGUAAAUGUACACUACCCCCCCCCCCAGUUAGCAAUAAACAUGGCACUGACCAUCAUCUCUGGUCUGUCUAUACGUCUAUAUUCUCUGGUGUCCUACAAUAACCAUCUCUGUUCUACAGACAAGUCUGUCUAUACUCUCUGGUGUCCUACAAUAUAACCAUCUCUGUUCUACAGACAAGUCUGUCUAUACUCUCUGGUGUCCUACAAUAUAACCAUCUCUGUUCUACAGACAAGUCUGUCUAUACUCUCUGGUGGUGGGUUUGGAAGAGGAGAGGGAUUGGCCUAACGGCUCGUGUCGGCCUAACGGCUCGUGUCGGCCUAGCGGCUCGUGGCGGCCUAACGGCUCGUGGCGGCCUAACGGCUCGUGGCGGCCUAACGGCUCGUGGCGGCCUAACGGCUCGUGGCGGCCUAACGGCUCGUGGCGGCCUAACGGCUGGUGUUUCCUUUGUUUUGUCAGUUACCGCUACACACACAUCCUUUUAAAGCUGUAAUCUACUCAAACUGCCGCGUCUGUUUGAGAUAUUACAACAACAACAACAACAAAGUGAUUGUAAACAACCAACAUAGUUUUCCCCCCUCUGACAUCAUUGCACGUGUGGUUUAGAACAGCAGCAAUAUGUACUGCUAUUUAUUUUCCCUUGGUGCUCCACAGCUUCAUCAACCAAUAACAACGAUGCUGGGGGCGGACAGUGGUUUCCCCUGCUGCAGGUAUCAUCUUUUUCAAAGAUGAAAGACUGUACUAUGUAUUAGAGUUGGGGUUCGUUUUGUAUUAAAGUCAGUGACUUAUUAAGGAAGUGAUAUGAAUUUAAAAUUGCAAUUUUUUUUAAAUAAGUUUUCAUAUACAUUUUUUUUUUUUUUAAGUUUACUUAGAAAUAAUUGAAAAUAGAUGCCCUUUUAAAAAAAAAAAUUAUUAUUGAAUUGGAAUUACAGUUUACUUCCUGAAUUACAGUUUACUUCCUGACUUCAAUUCGAAUUGACCUCAAACCUGCUUUUAUAUUAAACAAGUUUGAGUUAUUUGGAAAAUAAAAAACAGUUGUCAUGUU